GGCCCUGAGUGUGCCUGCGGCCGCUGGACCUAUGGGGCUGGCCCAGCCCGCCGAAGAGGCCGGGGCGCGGGGCCGGGGCUGCGAUUCCCUCCUGUUUGCGUGAUGUCGGGCCUCCGUUGGGUGGGCUCCGGGGACCUCCGGGGCGCCCACUCCUGUUCCUGUGCUCCGGGCGUUGUGCAAAGUCAGAUCGUCACAGUGCCUGCCCAGCCCCGAGGGAGGGGGGCCGAGCAGACCGACGGGGAGCAGGGUUCUCACCCGUGGUCACCGCCGCCUUAGACUGAGCGCGUUCCACUGCCCUCCUUCCCUGCAGCCAGAGGACCUAAUGAACAUGCAGCACUGCAACCUCCUCUGCCUGCCCGAGAACUACCAGAUGAAAUACUACUUCUACCAUGGCCUUUCCUGGCCCCAGCUCUCUUACAUUGCUGAGGACGAGAAUGGGAAGAUUGUGGGGUAUGUCCUGGCCAAAAUGGAAGAGGACCCAGAUGAUGUGCCCCAUGGACAUAUCACCUCAUUGGCUGUGAAGCGUUCCCACCGGCGCCUUGGUCUGGCUCAGAAACUGAUGGACCAGGCCUCUCGAGCCAUGAUAGAGAACUUCAAUGCCAAAUACGUCUCCCUGCAUGUCAGGAAGAGUAACCGGGCCGCCCUGCACCUCUAUUCCAACACCCUCAACUUUCAGAUCAGUGAAGUGGAGCCCAAAUACUAUGCAGAUGGGGAGGAUGCCUAUGCCAUGAAGCGGGACCUCACUCAGAUGGCCGACGAGCUGAGGCGGCACCUGGAGCUGAAAGAGAAGGGCAGGCACGUGGUGCUGGGUGCCAUCGAGAACAAGGUGGAGAGCAAAGGCAAUUCACCUCCGAGCUCAGGAGAGGCCUGUCGCGAGGAGAAGGGCCUGGCUGCCGAGGAUAGUGGUG
rnacentral:sRNA from 1 species